UAGACCUAAAACCAUAAAAACCCUAGAAGAAAACCUAGGAAUUACCAUUCAGGACAUAGGCACGGGCAAAGACUUCAUGUCUAAAACACCAAAAGCAAUGGCAACGAAAGCCAAAAUUGACAAAUGGGAUCUAAUUAAACUAAAGAGCUUCUGCACAGCAAAAGAAACUACCAUCAGAGUGAACAGGCAACCCACAAAAUGGGAGAAAAUUUUUGCAAUCUACUCAUCUGACAAAGGGCUAAUACCCAGAAUCUACAAUGAACUCAAACAAAUUUACAAGAAAAAAACAAACAACCCCAUCAAAAAGUGGGCGAAGGACAUGAACAGACACUUCUCAAAAGAAGACAUUUAUGCAGCCAAAAAACACAUGAAAAAAUGCUCACCAUCACUGGCCAUCAGAGAAAUGCAAAUCAAAACCACAAUGAGAUAUCAUCUCACACCAGUUAGAAUGGCAAUCAUUAAAAAGUCAGGAAACAACAGGUGCUGGAGAGGAUGUGGAGAAAUAGGAACACUUUUACACUGUUGGUGGGACUGUAAACUAGUUCAACCAUUGUGGAAGUCAGUGUCAUUGGGUUUUUUUAAAAAGCUAUUCACUCAUUCAAUUUAUUUGAUAAAUAUUUAGUGAAUGUCUACUCUGUGCCAAACACUUUCUAGGCAUUUACAUUCUAGCAGGAUGUAUCAGUUAGCUAUUGCCACAGUGAUGUGUAACAAUAACCACGAAAUUUCCGUGGCAUGAAAAAUUAAUCACUUAUUAAGAAUUUAUCUUCACAGAUCUGGAGGCCAGCUGGGACUCAGAUGAUUAAAGAGGGCUCUGUUGGGUAACUUUAUUCAGGCUGGGGUCACUGUACUUUCCUUGCCGCAGUACUGUGGGUAAGCUAUGGUGGCUCUGCUUCAUGUAUUUCUCAUCCUCCUUAGACCAGUGAACUAGCUGGGUCUCGUUUCUCUGUGGCUUCUUUCAUGAAUCAUAAGAGAUGACAUGUCCAACUCUGGUUUCACUCCAUUAACCAAAGUCUCAUGAAUGAGCUCAAAGACAGGAGGUAGGAAAAUAAGCUCCAGUUUUUUGUGUGCGGAUUUGCAAAGUUCAUGACAAAGGUUGAGAAAGGGGCCAGUAAUUCAAUUUAGGUGGGAAAGACUAACAAAGAACAAUAAGCCUAAUACAUAAGUAAAUUAUCAAAUAUAUUAGAAGGUGAUAAGUAAUAUUUCAAGAUUCUAAUGUGUAGCUAAGACUGAGAACUACUGAUCUUACAGUGUCAAACCUGGAAAGAAACCUGGUCUAACGUUCCUUGAACCAUUUUGAAAAUAGUAAAGCAGACCGUUCUCCCAGAAAGGAGAAGAAUCUUAUUCGAGGUCCAUGGAUGGAUAGAAAUGGAGCUAGGACCCAGGUCUUCUGAUUCUUUAGAUUAUUUCUCUUAUACCACAGUAUUCCAAUCUGUAGUCUUAGAAUUCUCCCUUUAUUGAUGGCACCAAAAAUAUGUUGUGGAAGGACAUCAUCAUUCUUACUUCUCUUGAUCUCAGACAUUAGAAGUAUGCUACCUAAUUCCUAUACUUCUCUUAGUGACUCAAUUCAGAGCCCAAUUUGACAUUCUCCAUAUUUGUACCCUUCAAAACUUUAUACACAUUCUAUCCUCUUUCAGCUUUUUUUUCUCUUCAAGUUGAAGACUGUUAGUUUUGGUCUGUCUUCAUGUGAUUCCCCAGGGUGCUACCUCAGCUGUCUGCUUGGUUAUUGGGCCUUCUCUUUUCUCCAGCUCUCUAAUGCCUUGAAUGAAGAGUAUUUCUUGAGUUACUUUUUUACUCUGAGCAUCCACUAGGCCUUAUAGUCACCGUUGCUGUUCUGGAUUACAGUCUUCUUGAUUUGCCAGGAUGAACAAUCAGAAGAAAAGAAAAUAUAUGGAACUUGCUUGUACCUGGAGUUUAUUGUCUGGAGAGAAUGUUGCUUCAAAUUCUCUGGCUUCGUUUUCAUGUAAAGAGCUUACAGAUUACCAGGAAGUAUUCAGAAAACAUCUAAAAGAAAAAUACCUAAAGAUAGGAGUUGAUAAAUGUUAUCAGCAUGGCAAGCAUAUAGAGUCACGACUGCUUCUUGUAAAAGACCAUGGUAUAUCAGAAGAGACACCAUAUGGAAUUCCUCAACAAGAUCAUUUUAUUGACAUGGAACAUGUAUUUGAUUCUAAUGAAGAGGGCUCCAGCUCACCCCGAACUGUGGUGCUUCAGGCAUGUGCUGGGACUGGAAAAACAGCUGUGGUGCACAAGUUCAUGUUUGACUGGGCAGCAGGAACGGUUACUCCAGGCAGGUGUGACUAUCUCAUCUACGUCAACUGCAUUGAAAUCAGCCAUAUUGCUAACCUUAGUUCUGCUGACCUUAUACUAACACUUUUCAAAAUAUAAAUGGACCAAUCUUGGACACUAUUCUCAUAUAUCCAAAGAUUCUGCUCAUUCUCGACAGAUUUCCUGAGCUGCAGGACCCUGUUGGUGACCAAGAAGAGGAUCUUAGUGUUCACCCCCAGGAGAGGAGGCCAGUAGAGAGUCUCUUGUGCAGUUUUGUGAGGAAAAAACUGUUCCCCGAAUCCUCCCUCCUGAUAACUGCCCGGCCUACAGCCAUGAAGAAGCUCCACUCUCUGUUAAAACAACCUAUCCAGGCAGAGAUAUUAUGGUUUACAGAUACCGAAAAGAGAGCAUAUUUAUUGAGCCAGUUUUCAGGUGCUAAUACAACAAUGAAAGUCUUUUAUGAUCUUUGAGAGAAUGAAGACCUUGACAUUAUGUCUUCACUUCCCAUCGUCUCCUGGAUGAUAUGCAAUGUCCUGCAGUCACAGGGAGAUGGUGACAGGACUCUCUUGAGGUCACUUCAGACCAUGACUGAUGUGUAUUUAUUCUACUUUUCCAAGUGCCUCAAAACCCUUACAGGUAUCUCAGUAUGGGAGGGACAAAGUUGCCUGUGGGGUCUUUGCCGUUUGGCUGCAGAGGGUCUGCAAAAUCAUCAGGUUUUGUUUGCAGUCAGUGACCUCAGAAGACAUGGGAUAGGAGUGUGUGAUACCAACUGCACUUUUCUCAGUCGCUUUUUGAAAAAGGCUGAAGGAGCUGUCAGUGUCUACACUUUCCUUCACUUCAGUUUCCAAGAGUUCUUGACUGCUGUCUUCCAUGCCCUGAAGAAUGACAAUAGCUGGAUGUUUUUUUAUCAAGCAGAGAAAAUGUGGCAAGAAAUGUUCCAACAAUAUGGAAAAGGUUUUUCAUCACUAAUGAUAUAAUUCUUAUUUGGCCUCUUACAUAAAGGAAAAGGAAAGGCUGUGGAAACUACUUUUGGAAGAAAAGUUUCCCCAGGACUUCAAGAGGAGUUACUGAAGUGGACUGAGAGAGAAAUAAAGGAUAAGUCUUCUAGGUUACAGAUUGAGCCGGUGGACCUGUUUCACUGUUUGUAUGAGAUUCAGGAAGAAGAAUAUGCAAAAAGGAUAAUUGAUGAUUUACAGUCAAUUAUACUGCUUCAACCUACCUAUACAAAAAUGGACAUUCUGGUUAUGUCCUUCUGUGUAAAAAGCAGUCACAGUCACCUGUCAGUGUCUCUGAAGUGUCAGCACCUACUUGGAUUUGAGGAGGAAGAGUGAGCCUCAACAUUCGUGCCACCAGCCUUAACACUUAAUCAGUCCUUUCAGCUGCGCAGUUUGCCAGUGUGUCAGCUACACCUGCUCUGCCAAGCACUGCGUACUCCAUACUGUAAAAUCAAAGACCUGAAACUGAUUUUCUGUCGCCUCACAGCUUCUUGUGGUAGGGACCUCUCCUCAGUAUUUGAAACUAACCAGCAUCUGACAGAUUUCGAAUUUGUAAAAAAUACCCUCGAAGAUUCAGGAAUGAAGCUUCUGUGUGAAGGAUUAAAACAGCCCAACUGUGUCUUACAGACAUUGAGGAAUAUUUGAAAAAUAUGCAACUCAAGACGGAUGUCUUAGGAUCAAAACACAUUUCAAGGAGUCAUGAAGAGGAGGAAUAAAUGUGGCAGUCCCUAAAGUUGCUUCUGUGUAACAAGUUUAGGAAGACAAUUUUCAUUUUAAGUGGAAACAUUAUCAAUAACAAUAACUCAUGCUUAGCAAUUAUUGAGUACUAAGCAUUGUGCUGAGUAUGCACAAAUUCUUUUAAUCUGCACAACAGCUGUGAGAGAUCCAGAUUAUUACUGGUAUUUUCGCAGAUGAGGAAAUGGAAGAGGUCCAAUAUAGUUAGGGUAAAAAAAUAUGGCAAAGGCCCAAUUCAAAACUCAAAUGUGUCUGACUUCAAGUCCACCAUAAUCACAUUAAUUAAAAAAAAGUGUUAUACAUGUUAGUCAAGGUUCUCCAGAGAAACAGAACUAAUUGCGUGUGUGUGUGUGUGUGUGUGUGUGUGUGUGUGUGUGUGUGUGUGUGUGUGUAGAGAGAGAGAGAGCCAGAGCCAGAAACAGAUUUAUUUUUAAAAAUUGGCUUAUGCAGUUUUGGAGGCUGGCAAGUCCAAAACCUGAAUGGUAGGCCGGCAGGCUAGAGAAUUGGGAAAGAGUCAAUGUUGUGCUUUGAGCCUGAAGGUUGUCUGGUGGUAGAACUCCCUUUUCUGAGGAAGUCAGUCUUUUUCUAUUAAGGCUUUCAAGUGACUGGACGAAGCCAAACCAUACUAUGGAUGAUAAUCUACUUUACUCAAAAUGUACUGAUUAAAAUGUUAAUUUCACCUAAAAAGUACUUUCACAGAAACAUCUAGAAUAAUACUUGACAAAAUAUCUGGGUACCAUGGCCUAGCCAAAUUGACAUAUAAAAUUAAUCAUCACAAUAUGUAUGUGGGAUUUUUUUUAAAGCAAAAGCUCUUUAGCAUUCAAGUGUUAUGAAAUCCACAUUGAAAACUCAUUUUAUGCAAAGUACCUCUAUUUAAAAUUUCUAAAUUGGGGAGAUAUAAAUGCAUCUCCAUAUGAGCUGUCUCUCUCUCUUUUUAAUGCACAAGGAUUUAUUCUCUCUUUUUUAUUAUACUUUAAGUUUUAGGGUACAUGUGCACAAUACGCAGGUUUGUUACAUAUGUAUACAUGUGCCAUGUUGGUGUGCUGCACCCAUUAACUCGUCAUUUAGCAUUAGGUAUAUCUCCUAAUGCUAUCCCUCCCCCCUCCCCCCACCCCACAACAGGCCCCGGUGUGUGAUGUUCCCCUUCCUGUGUCCAUGUGAUCUCAUUGUUCAAUUCCCACCUAUGAGUGAGAACAUGCGGUGUUUGGUUUUUUGUCCUUGCGAUAGUUUGCUGAGAAUGAUGGUUUCCAGCUUCAUCCAUGUCCCUACAAAGGACAUGAACUCAUCAUUUUUUAUGGCUGCAUAGUAUUCCAUGGUGUAUAUGUGCCACAUUUUCUUAACCCAGUCUAUCAUUGAUGGACGUUUGGGUUGGUUCCAAGUCUUUGCUAUUAUGAAUAGUGCCGC